rnacentral:rRNA from 1 species
CAGUAGCCACGGUAAUACGAAGGGGGCUAGCGUUGUUCGGAUUUACUGGGCGUAAAGCGCACGUAGGCGGAUCGAUCAGUCAGGGGUGAAAUCCCAGAGCUCAACUCUGGAACUGCCUUUGAUACUGUCGAUCUGGAGUAUGGAAGAGGUGAGUGGAAUUCCGAGUGUAGAGGUGAAAUUCGUAGAUAUUCGGAGGAACACCAGUGGCGAAGGCGGCUCACUGGUCCAUUACUGACGCUGAGGUGCGAAAGCGUGGGGAGCAAACAGGAUUAGAUACCCCUGUAGUCCCUGUCUCUUAUAC